rnacentral:rRNA from 1 species
UAAUACGUAGGGUGCAAGCGUUAAUCGGAAUUACUGGGCGUAAAGCGUACGCAGGCGGCUGUGCAAGACAGGUGUGAAAUCCCCGGGCCCAACCUGGGAACUGCAUUUGUGACUGCAUAGCUAGAGUCCGUAAGAGGGGGGUGGAAUUCCACGCGUAGCAGUGAAAUGCGUAGAGAUGUGGAGGAACACCGAUGGCGAAGGCAGCCCCCUGGGAUGAGACUGACGCUCAUGUACGAAAGCGUGGGAGCAAACAGGAUUAGAUACCCUGGUAGUCCACGCCCUAAACGAUGUCGACUAGUUGUCGGGUCUUUACAGACUUGGUAACGCAGCUAACGCGUGAAGUCGACCGCCUGGGGAGUACGGUCGCAAGAUUAAAACUCAAAGGAAUUGACGGGGACCCGCACAAGCGGUGGAUGAUGUGGAUUAAUUCGAUGCAACGCGAAAAACCUUACCUACCCUUGACAUGGCAGGAACUCCGCAGAGAUGCGGAGGUGCCCGAAAGGGAACCU